GCGGGUGUCGUAUAACGGCUAAUUAUGCCACCCUUCCAAGGUGGAGACGAGGGUUCGACUCCCUUCACCCGCU
rnacentral:tRNA from 7 species